rnacentral:rRNA from 1 species
CAGAUUGAAGCUUGCUUUGAACUGUUUUAGUGGCGGACGGGUGAGUAACGCGUGAGGAACCUGCCUUUCAGAGGGGGAUAACGUCUGGAAACGGACGCUAAUACCGCAUGACAUUUUGUUGCCGCAUGGUGAUAAAAUCAAAGGAGCAAUCCGCUGAGAGAUGGACUCGCGUCCGAUUAGCCGGUUGGCGGGGUAACGGCCCACCAAAGCAACGAUCGGUAGCCGGGCUGAGAGGCUGAACGGCCACAUUGGGACUGAGACACGGCCCAGACUCCUACGGGAGGCAGCAGUGGGGGAUAUUGCACAAUGGAGGAAACUCUGAUGCAGCAACGCCGCGUGAGGGAAGAAGGUUUUCGGAUUGUAAACCUCUGUCCUCAGGGACGAUAAUGACGGUACCUGAGGAGGAAGCUCCGGCUAACUACGUGCCAGCAGCCGCGGUAAUACGUAGGGAGCAAGCGUUGUCCGGAUUUACUGGGUGUAAAGGGUGCGUAGGCGGCACUGCAAGUCAGGUGUGAAAACCAUGGGCUUAACUUAUGGAUUGCACUUGAAACUGUGGUGCUUGAGUGAAGUAGAGGCAGGCGGAAUUCCCGGUGUAGCGGUGAAAUGCGUANAGAUCGGGAGGAACACCAGUGGCGAAGGCGGCCUGCUGGGCUUUAACUGACGCUGA